rnacentral:misc_RNA from 1 species
AACCUUAUGGACCUGCGGGCGUAUACCUGCGGAGGGAUCAUUACAAGUGACCCCGGUCUAACCACCGGGAUGUUCAUAACCCUUUGUUGUCCGACUCUGUUGCCUCCGGGGCGACCCUGCCUUCGGGCGGGGGCUCCGGGUGGACACUUCAAACUCUUGCGUAACUUUGCAGUCUGAGUAAACUUAAUUAAUAAAUUAAAACUUUUAGCAAUGGAUCU